UAGCCUAGUGGUUAGGGCUAUAGAUCGCCAAUCUGGAGACGGCGGGUUCGAUUCCCGU
rnacentral:tRNA from 1 species